UAAUGUUUUGUAAAUGGAGCCGCUCUGCAUAUGUCCAGUAUGGGUACUUCCUGCCGGGAUGUUGUAAAGGCAGCUUAUGCUCUUGUGGAAUGUGCUCUUACCUCAGGCAGAGGGAAAUGUGCUAAUUCAUAGCACAUGAUGAUGUAACCAGAACUCCAUUAGGAGAUUCUCUGAGAGGAUAUAGCUUGUCCUCGAGUCCAUUCCACUAUAGCAAGAAAUAGCCUAAAUGAUUUUCUGACAAAUGUGGUCCUCUGCAGGUAGAACGCUAAGGUGCGUCUGAGGUUGAGGGAAUGAAGUCGGCACGCCUCAGCAGAAACAUGGGGUUUCAGGAAUAAAAUGGACACCCAGCGCUUCUAGGAGAUGUAGAAAGAACAAAGAUGCUGAUCUGAACUCAUGGAUGCAAUGACCUACUACGAGCCAAUCGCUGAGAUAUGGGAAAACUGUGUAACCCUGACAUUUCAUUUUGGCUGCCACCAUAAAGAAGACCUUUGUAAAUACUUUGAGUGCUGUUGCUAGUCCAAAGGGAAGGUCUCUGAACUGCAAAUGUUCCUGACCCACUCGAAACCAAAAGGAACUUUCUGUGGGACAGAUGAAUAUCUACAUGGAAAUAGGCAUCCUUCAUGUUGCUUGCCACAAACCACAUUUCCUCCUGUAGAGAGGGGAUUAUUGAUGCUAGUCUAACCAUCUUAAAUUUGGCUUUCGAAUAAAGGUGCUCAGCUGUUGAAGGUCCAGAA